rnacentral:rRNA from 1 species
CCUACGGGAGGCAGCAGUAGGGAAUCUUCCACAAUGGGCGCAAGCCUGAUGGAGCAACGCCGCGUGGGUGAAGAAGGUCUUCGGAUCGUAAAACCCUGUUGUUAGAGAAGAAAGUGCGUGAGAGUAACUGUUCACGUUUCGACGGUAUCUAACCAGAAAGUCACGGCUCACUCCGUGCCAGCAGCCGCGGUAAUACGUAGGUGGCAAGCGUUAUCCGGAUUUAUUGGGCGUAAAGGGAACGCAGGCGGUCUUUUAAGUCUGAUGUGAAAGCCUUCGGCUUAACCGGAGUAGUGCAUUGGAUACUGGGAGACUUGAGUGCAGAAGAGGAGAGUGGAACUCGAUGUGUAGCGGUGAAAUGCGUAGAUAUAUGGAAGAACACCAGUGGCGAAAGCGGCUCGCUGGUCUGCAACUGACGCUGAGGUUCGAAAGCGUGGGUAGCAAACAGGAUUAGAUACCCGAGUAGUC